rnacentral:lncRNA from 1 species
AUAUAUAUAUAUAUAUAUUUUAGGUUGUUUUUAUUUUAAAUACUAAGCAGGGUGUACCAAUCAUGAGAAAAGUAAUAACUUACUUAAAAUAGAAGUGUUUUCUGAUUGAAGAUGACCUUAUGACAAUUUACCAUGUGUUCAGAUAAAGUAUGUUCUUGCUACAAAAAAGCCCUGGUGUUGUAAAUGUCUCAAUGUUAAACUGCCAUUUAAAAAUCAAUAAAUUGGUCCCUAGGAAUUAAAUGCAAACUAUACAGGGACAUCAAGCAAGUCUCAAUUAUAUAAACAAAUGCAUAUAACCCAGCUUGUAGUUAUGGUUUAGGCUCCUUAUAAACCAAAAAGUCAGCCUUCUGGUGACUUAAAUGACUCACAUAUGGAUUUUAUAAUUGGCAUGACUUGUGCAGAAUCCUAUGUAAUUUGGAAAAUUUAUACAUUUUGAAAUAUGAUAAAAUCUUUAUUGGCAAUCCCACCUACUACAUAUUGCUAGAAUAUAGUCAUGUAUGAAUAAAAAUUGGAAAUAACAAAAAAAAUAUCCAGUAAAUAGUUCGACAGUGUUUGAAAAGCAAAAAAUCCAUUUUAUAGAUUGUGAACUAUAGAAAAUUCUAUCAUUUACCUGGAAAGUAACGAAAUGGUCCCAUUAUUUUUUAACAUUUUAUGUGUAGAACAGCAAGAAUUAUUUGCAAAUAAAUUUAUGUUACAAAUGUUUUGUGCUAUGCUUAUCUAGUCAGCAAAAUAUCUAAGGAUCUGAUAGAGACAUUGAAACAUAUAUAACAACUAGCUAAAUAUUUAACCAAAGUCCAUAUUUUCUCAUACUUCCUAUUUUGAGUUGGGUUUUUUUUGCCAAAAGAAAUACAAAUUCAUAGUUAUGUUGAUUAGAAUAGGCCCCUUCUCAAUUAGUUUGGCCAUAUUAAAAAGUGGCAGAAUUUCAUAAUGGAGGUAAAAUUGGUCUGAAAAAUAUGUGAAAACAUCAUUAAAACAAAGUAGAUGCUGGGAAACAUACAUAGAUUUCCCAUAAUCUCAUGCUAUUUUCACCUAUUUAAAAAACAAUCACACGUUCAAUAUGGCCGAAAUAACCGUGAAGUGGCCUAUUUUUCUGAAAAGAGGCACAUAUUUCAUAUGUGGUAUUACCUGAGAUCAGGAAAUUACCCAACUGUGCACCAUAUUCUUUUGGAACCUUGGCUUAAUAAUUAAGGAAAAAUAUACUACCGGUAGUAUAUAAACACAAAGUUUGCCUGUUGUAUGUUUGUUACUUUAGUCCAUGUAGUCCUUUGAUAUUUUGAAAACCCACA